GUAAUUUGAACGCCACUGAAAUGGAAACAUCCACAUAUUUUUCUCCUCGAGCUGGCUCCGCUGCUGAGGACGAUCGUGUGGGCUACAAUUACCCAGUAAAAGGCUAGAUCUGCCGAUCUGGCAUCUAUAUAUGUGUGAUGAUCAAGGACGCG